rnacentral:lncRNA from 1 species
GCUCCUUCAACGAACAGCUGUAUACCAAAAUAUCAUCAAAGAAAACCAACACGCACCUUCGCAACAAGCUCUUGAAAACCCGAUUCAUCAAUGACUAAAAAGUGGCAGGGGCAUUAGUAAGCCCAAAAGGCAUUACUAAAAAUUCAUGAUGCCCUUCAUGCAUUCAGAAUGCUGUUUUGUGUUCAUCCCCCGCCCUCAGGUGAAUCCGGUGAUACCCUGACUCUAGGUCCAGCUUGGAGAAGAUAGUGGCACCCUGUAAUUCAUCCAAUAACUCAUCAAUAGCCGGUAUAGGAAAACGAUCAGGUACUGUAGCUCGGUUCAAGGCUUUGUAAUCCACACAAAACCUCCAUCCUCCAUCUUUUUUCUUCAUCAAUAGUACUGGACUUGAAGAUGGGCUGAUGUUGGAUUGGACUAUCCCCGCUUCUAACAUGUCAGCCACCAAUUGCUCAAUUUCAGCAUUCUGCGCAUGAGGAUAGCGGUAUGGUCUAACAUUAAUACGUUCAGUCCCUGGCUUCAAUGUGAUAGCAUGUUCAUGACCUUGUGGAGGAGUUAAUCCACCUGGCACCUCAAAUACCGAAUUAUAAGUUGCCAGAAUUUUCUAAAUAGGUUCUGGUAUAUUACAUGCUUUGGCUCUUCUACCUGAACGGAACAGAGUUCUACCAUCAGACGCUCGCCUUCCUUCUGUAUGGUUUUUAACAUCGAUUUCAAGGAUACCAAGGACUUAACCCUUCUUCCCCUUCCAAAGUAACCGUUCUAUCCCCCAUAGAUAUUUUCAUCACCAAUAGCUUCCAAUUCACUUGAAUGGUGCCCAAUGUACUCAGCCAUUGUCCGAAUUGCUCAAAUCUAAUGGUAAAUACUUCUCGAUGACUACCACAGUUUGCAUAUAAAGCACCACUCCCUUGCAUAUUCCUCUUCCCUUUACUACCAUCCUGGAUCCCACAUGCACUUCGUAACCGUUAGUUUCGGUGACAGCUAUUUUCAAUUUUCGAACCAAUUUUGAGGAAAUGAAAUUAUGGGUCGCUCCGAAAUCAAUAAGCACCACCACUUCCUGUCCAUUAAUUGUACCCUUCAUCUUCAUGGUUUUAGGGGAUGUCAAACCGACAACAGAGUUCAUGGACAGCUCGACCCCCUCAAAUUCUGUUCUCCUUACUUUCUCCUCUUUCAUUUCUUCCUCCCCAUCACCCCCUUCAAUGUCAUCAGCAACCAGCAGCACAUGCAAUUCUUUGUUACGACACCUAUGCCCGAUGGUGUAUUUGUCAUCACAUCUAAACCACAACCCCUUAUCCUUUUUUGCCUGCAAUUCUGCCUACAUUAGUUUCUUAAAUCCGGAAGUGACAUCCGUGGAGAUUGUUCUUGACUUCUCCACCGGGACAUUCCCUCGAGGAGGAUUCCAUGGGAUAGUUCUAUUUUCAGUCCUAGCAGGAGGAGCGUAGGACGAGCUUUUGUAGCGUAGGCGCUCUUUCUCCCAAGCCCUGCUGACUCACAGAUUUCUGUCCUCGACCCUUUGCACCACAUCCAUGAUUUGGGACAGCUCUUU